rnacentral:rRNA from 1 species
AUUGAACGCUGGCGGCAGGCCUAACACAUGCAAGUCGAACGAGUGGCGGACGGGUGAGUAAUGUCUGGGAAACUGCCUGAUGGAGGGGGAUAACUACUGGAAACGGUAGCUAAUACCGCAUACCCUCAGAUGUGCCCAGCUGGGAUUAGCUUGUUGGUGGGGUAACGGCUCACAAAGGCGACGAUCCCUAGCUGGUCUGCGAGGAUGACCAGGCACAUUGGAGCUGAGACACGGCCCAGUCUCCUACGGGAGGCAGCAGUGGGGAAUAUUUCACAAUGGGCGCAAGCCUGAUGCAGCCAUGCCGAGUGUAUGAAGAAGUCCUUCGGGUUGUAAAGUACUUUCAGCGGGGCGGCGUUACCCGCAGAAGAAGCACCGGCUAACUCCGUGCCAGCAGCCGCGGUAAUAC